ACACAUGCAAGUCGAACGCCCUCUUCGGAGGGAGUGGCAGACGGGUGAGAACGCGUGGGAAUUUACCCAAUGGUACGGAACAACUCCGGGAAACUGGACUAAUACCGCAUAAGCCCUUCGGGGGAAAGAUUUAUCGCCAUUGGAAAACCCGCGUUGGAUUAGCUUGUUGGUGAGGUAACGGCUCACCAAGGUUUCGUCCAUAGCUGGUCUGACAGGAUGAUCAGCCACACUGGGACUGAGACACGCCCACACUCCUACGGGAGGCAGCAGUGGGGAAUAUUGGACAAUGGGCGAAGCCUGAUCCAGCCAUGCCGCGUGAGUGAACAAGGCCUUAGGGUUGUAAGCUCUUUCGGGCGGGGAAGAUCAUGACCGGUACCCGCACAACAAGCCCCGCUAACUCCGGUGUCAGUAGGCGCGGUAAU
rnacentral:rRNA from 1 species